rnacentral:pre_miRNA from 1 species
AUUCUACUCCCUCCGUUCGAAAUUACUUGUCUCGAAAAUGGAUGUAUUUAGAACUAAAAUACAUUUAGAUACAUCCAUUUCUGCAACAAGUAAUUCCGAACGAAGGGAGUAGUAU